rnacentral:rRNA from 1 species
GUUGUAAAUUCAACAUGAUUUGAAUCAAAAAUUUUAUUUAAUUUUAUAUAUUUUAGUGUAUUUGAAAUAAGAAUAUUAUAUUUUUAUUAAUAGGUAUGAAUAAAUAAAUUUAAUUAUAGAGAAUUAGUAAUGUGAGUGAAUUUUUUUAAAUAGGUAAAAGAAAAAUUUAAUUUUUGUACCUUGUGUAUCAGGGUUUAUUAAAUAAAAAUUAAUAAUUUAAUUUUCUCGAAUUAAUAAGAGCUAUAUAGAUAUUAAGUUUUUGUUGAAUAAAAAUUUUAAAUAUUUAUAUAGAUGUGAAACGCUAUUCGAUUAUUAAUAUAUCUAGUUUUUAAAGAAAAAAAUUUAAUUUUAUUAAUAAUUUAAUAUUAACUUAAAUUUUUAAUUUAAUAUUAUUAUUAUUUUAUAUCUUAAGGGAUGAGCUUUAAGAUAAAAUUUUUUAAGAUAAUUUAUUAUUAUAAGUAAAUAGGAUUGUAAGUUUUUAUUUUUAAAAGUGUGUUGUUACUUGCUUAUAAAAAAAUAUAAUUUUUAUUAUCUUAAAAUUAUUUAUUUAAAUAAAAGUAUUAAUAUAAAAUAUUUUGUAAUAAUGAUAAAAUUAGUAUAAGUUUUUAUAGUUAAUUAUAAAUUAUGAUAGGUUUUAUAAAGGAAUUCGGCAAAUCUAUUUUUCACCUGUUUAUUAAAAACAUGGCCUUUUGAAGAUAAUUUAAGGUCUGACCUGCCCACUGAGGAUUUAAAGGGCCGCGGUAAUUUGACCGUGCAAAGGUAGCAUAAUCAUUAGUUUUUUAAUUGAAAGCUGGAAUGAACGGUUGGAUGAGAAAAUAGCUGUCUCUAUAAAAAUUUAAUAGAACUUUAUUUUUAAGUAAAAAAGCUUAAAUUUAAUUGGAAGACGAGAAGACCCUAUAGAGUUUUAUUUAUAGAUAAAUUGGAAAGAUAAGAAUUAUUUUUUUUUUAUUUAUUAGUAAAUUUAGUUGGGGUGAUUGAAAAAUUGAAUAAACUUUUUUUAUAUUAAACCAUUGAUUUAUGAAUAUAUGAUCCUUAAAUAAAGAUUAAAAGAUAAAAUUACCUUAGGGAUAACAGCGUAAUUUUUUUUGAGAGUUCUAAUCGAAAGAAAAGAUUGCGACCUCGAUGUUGGAUUAAAAUAAAAUUUUGGUGUAGAAGCUAAAGUAUUUAGGUCUGUUCGACCUUUAAAAUUUUACAUGAUCUGAGUUUAAACCGGCGUGAGCCAGGUUGGUUUCUAUCUCUAAUAAAAAAUAUUAUCUUAGUACGAAAGGACCAGGUAAUAGAUUAAAAAUUUUUAAAUUAAGAACUUUAUUAAUAGAUUAUUUUGGCAGAAUAGUGCGUUAGAUUUAGAAUCUUUUUAUGUAAAUUUUAUUUA